GAUGAAGAACGCAGCGAAAUGCGAUAAGUAGUGUGAAUUGCAGAAUUCAGUGAAUCAUCGAAUAUUUGAACGCACAUUGCGCCCGCCAGUAUUCUGGCGGGCAUGCCUGUUCGAGCGUCAUUUCAACCAUCAAGCCCCCGGCUUGUGUUGGGGACCUGCGGCUGCCGCAGGCCCUGAAAAGCAGUGGCGGGCUCGCUGUCACACCGAGCGUAGUAGCAUACAUCUCGCUCUGGGCGUGCUGCGGGUUCCGGCCGUUAAACCACCUUCAUAACCCAAGGUUGACCUCGGAUCAGGUAGGAAGACCCGCUGAACUUAAGCAUAUCAAUAAGCGGAGGA
rnacentral:misc_RNA from 1 species